rnacentral:lncRNA from 1 species
CUAGAUGUGAUCAAUAAAUCAAGGAAAUCAUGUCCCUUACCUACAAAAGAGUUAGACAACUACAAAGACAUAAUUUUGGUAUUUUGGUUAGUGAAAAUGAUAAAAUACAGGUAUGAUAUAAUCACAAAGUGCUUGGUGAUCUCUCCCAAAACAAACCCAAUGAAAAGGGGUAAGUAGGAUGCCUAGGUAUGAUCCCAAUGCUAAUGCUUAUGAUGAAAUGCAU